rnacentral:rRNA from 1 species
UACGGGGGGAGCAAGCGUUGUUCGGAUUUACUGGGCGUAAAGGGCGCGUAGGCGGUCAGCACAAGUCAGUUGUGAAAUCUCCGGGCUUAACUCGGAAAGGUCAACUGAUACUGUGCGACUAGAGUGCGGAAGGGGCAACUGGAAUUCUCGGUGUAGCGGUGAAAUGCGUAGAUAUUGGGAGGAACACCAGCGGCGAAGGCGGCACUCUGGGCUGGUACUGACGCUGAGACGCGAAAGCGUGGGGAGCGAACAGG